rnacentral:rRNA from 1 species
GGGUUGUGAGGUUAAGCGACUAAGCGUACACGGUGGAUGCCCUGGCAGUCAGAGGCGAUGAAGGGCGUGCUAAUCUGCGAUAAGCGCCGGUAAGGUGAUAUGAACCGUUAUAACCGGCGAUACCCGAAUGGGGAAACCCAGUGUGACUCGUCACACUAUCAUUAACUGAAUCCAUAGGUUAAUGAGGCGAACCGGGGGAACUGAAACAUCUAAGUACCCCGAGGAAAAGAAAUCAACCGAGAUUCCCCCAGUAGCGGCGAGCGAACGGGGAGGAGCCCAGAGCCUGAAUCAGCAUGUGUGUUAGUGGAAGCGUCUGGAAAGGCGCGCGAUACAGGGUGACAGCCCCGUACACAAAAGCGCAUGUGCUGUGAGCUCGAUGAGUAGGGCGGGACACGUGGUAUCCUGUCUGAAUAUGGGGGGACCAUCCUCCAAGGCUAAAUACUCCUGACUGACCGAUAGUGAACCAGUACCGUGAGGGAAAGGCGAAAAGAACCCCGGCGAGGGGAGUGAAAAAGAACCUGAAACCGUGUACGUACAAGCAGUGGGAGCCCCACCACUAAGCCAGUGGUGAACUCCACAUACGCAUCCUUUGCUGAGGAUACGGUUAACGGAGCGAAAGCGACGUUCAACCUCAAAAGAAGCAGAGGGGGCUUAGUGGUGGGGUGACUGCGUACCUUUUGUAUAAUGGGUCAGCGACUUAUAUUCUGUAGCAAGGUUAACCGAAUAGGGGAGCCGGAGGGAAACCGAGUCUUAACUGGGCGUUAAGUUGCAGGGUAUAGACCCGAAACCCGGUGAUCUAGCCAUGGGCAGGUUGAAGGUUGGGUAACACUAACUGGAGGACCGAACCGACUAAUGUUGAAAAAUUAGCGGAUGACCUGUGGCUGGGGGUGAAAGGCCAAUCAAACCGGGAGAUAGCUGGUUCUCCCCGAAAGCUAUUUAGGUAGCGCCUCGUGAAUUCAUCUCCGGGGGUAGAGCACUGUUUCGGCUAGGGGGCCAUCCCGGCUUACCAACCCGAUGCAAACUGCGAAUACCGGAGAAUGUUAUCACGGGAGACACACGGCGGGUGCUAACGUCCGUCGUGAAGAGGGAAACAACCCAGACCGCCAGCUAAGGUCCCAAAGUCAUGGUUAAGUGGGAAACGAUGUGGGAAGGCCCAGACAGCCAGGAUGUUGGCUUAGAAGCAGCCAUCAUUUAAAGAAAGCGUAAUAGCUCACUGGUCGAGUCGGCCUGCGCGGAAGAUGUAACGGGGCUAAACCAUGCACCGAAGCUGCGGCAGCGAACGUAUCACCCAAGACAACUUUACGGAGUUGACGAUUGACGGAGCGAAGCGACGUCAAAGCGUUCAUUAAAGUCGAGUUGGCUUAGGGAUACGUUCGUUGGGUAGGGGAGCGUUCUGUAAGCCUGUGAAGGUGGCCUGUGAGGGUUGCUGGAGGUAUCAGAAGUGCGAAUGCUGACAUAAGUAACGAUAAAGCGGGUGAAAAGCCCGCUCGCCGGAAGACCAAGGGUUCCUGUCCAACGUUAAUCGGGGCAGGGUGAGUCGACCCCUAAGGCGAGGCCGAAAGGCGUAGUCGAUGGGAAACGGGUUAAUAUUCCCGUACUUGGUGUUACUGCGAAGGGGGGACGGAGAAGGCUAUGUUGGCCGGGCGACGGUUGUCCCGGUUUAAGCGUGUAGGCUGGUUUUCCAGGCAAAUCCGGAAAAUCAAGGCUGAGGCGUGACGACGAGGCACUACGGUGCUGAAGCAACAAAUGCCCUGCUUCCAGGAAAAGCCUCUAAGCAUCAGGUAACAUCAAAUCGUACCCCAAACCGACACAGGUGGUCAGGUAGAGAAUACCAAGGCGCUUGAGAGAACUCGGGUGAAGGAACUAGGCAAAAUGGUGCCGUAACUUCGGGAGAAGGCACGCUGACACGUAGGUGAAGUGAUUUACUCAUGGAGCUGAAGUCAGUCGAAGAUACCAGCUGGCUGCAACUGUUUAUUAAAAACACAGCACUGUGCAAACACGAAAGUGGACGUAUACGGUGUGACGCCUGCCCGGUGCCGGAAGGUUAAUUGAUGGGGUCAGCGCAAGCGAAGCUCCUGAUCGAAGCCCCGGUAAACGGCGGCCGUAACUAUAACGGUCCUAAGGUAGCGAAAUUCCUUGUCGGGUAAGUUCCGACCUGCACGAAUGGCGUAAUGAUGGCCAGGCUGUCUCCACCCGAGACUCAGUGAAAUUGAACUCGCUGUGAAGAUGCAGUGUACCCGCGGCAAGACGGAAAGACCCCGUGAACCUUUACUAUAGCUUGACACUGAACAUUGAGCCUUGAUGUGUAGGAUAGGUGGGAGGCUUUGAAGUGUGGACGCCAGUCUGCAUGGAGCCGACCUUGAAAUACCACCCUUUAAUGUUUGAUGUUCUAACGUGGACCCGU